CUGAAGAUUUAACCCAAAAAGAAAGAGAUAAAUUUGUAGCCUUAUUAAUAAAGUACCAAGAAGCAUUUGCCUGGUCUUAUAAAGAUAUGCCGGGAAUUGAUCGAGACAUAGUACAACACAAGAUCCCCACAGACCCUAACAUGAGGCCAGUAAAACAAAAGAAACGUCGGCUUAGGCCAGAAUGGGAAGAAAAGAUAGCUCAAGAGGUGAAAAAGCUUAUUGAGGCUGAUUUUAUUGAAGUAAUUGAGUAUCCCGAGUGGUUAGCCAACAUUGUGCCAGUCCCCAAGAAGGAUGGGCGAGUUCGGAUGUGUGUAGAUUAUAGGGACCUGAAUAAGGCUACUCCUAAGGAUGAUUUCCCAUUGCCUCACAUCGAUGUGCUUGUUGACAGUGCUGCUUGCAUGGCCAUGUACUCUUUCAUGGAUGGUUUUUCGGGAUAUAAUCAGAUCCUCAUGGAUUUGAUAGAUAAAGCAAAGACAGCUUUUAUCACUGAAUGGGGGACUUAUUGUUAUAAGGUCAUGCCUUUUGGGCUAAAAAAUGCUAGUGCAACUUAUCAGAGAAUGGCUACUAUGUUGUUUCAUGACAUGAUGCACAAAGAAGUUGAAGUAUAUGUGGAUGACAUGGUAGUAAAAUCCCCAACUAGGGAGAGACAUUUUGAGGCAUUAGAGAAGUUCUUUCAGAGAGUCAUCAAGUAUAAAUUGAGACUGAACCCUAGCAAGUGUGUGUUUGUGGUCACUUCAGGCAAACUGUUAGGGCAUAUGAUCAGUAGGAAAGGGAUUGAGGUUGACCCAGAUAAGGUGAAGGCAAUCCAGGAGAUGCCAGCCCCGAGAACAGAAAAAGAGAUUAGAGGUUUCUUAGGCAAAUUACAGUACAUCAGUAGGUUCAUAGCUAGGCUCACAACUACCUGUGAACCAAUUUUUAAGCUACUAAGAAAGAAUCAGCCAGUGGUGUGGAAUGAGCAAUGUCAAGAGGCAUUUGAAAAGAUAAAGCAGUACCUGAGCAAUCCACCAAUUUUGUCACCACCCAUACCUAGCAUCCCUCUAAUCCUCUACCUAUCAGUGGAAAACAUGGCCCUGGGGGCAAUGUUGGCACAAGAAGUAGAGAAUCUGGAGAGAGCCAUCUAUUACAUCAGUAAGAAACUCCUUGCUUAUGAGGAGAAUUAUUCACUAAUAGAAAGAACCUGUCUGGCUGUAGUAUGGGCAACUAAGAAGUUAAGGCACUACUUUCAGACCCAUCGAGUUAUUGUAGUAUCCCGGAUGGAUCCUUUAAAGUACCUAUUUGAAGUACCGACGCUAGUUGGAAAAUUGGCCAAAUGGUUGGUCCUACUGUCUGAAUUUGAUAUUGUGUAUGAGACUCGAAAAACCAUUAAAGGGGGUGUAGUGGCCGAAUUUCUUUCUGAAAAUCCAGUUAAUGAAGGGGAAGAAGUCGAAACAGCCUUCCCGGAUGAGAGUCUCAAGCUAGUAGAGGUCCAGCCAUGGAAAAUGUACUUUGAUGGGGCCAUGAAUAAGAGCGGAGCCGGUAUAGGGGUAGUUUUGGAAGCACCGAAUGGAGAACAAUUGUUAAUGUCAAAAAGGCUAUGUUUCCCAACCACUAAUAAUAUAGCAGAAUAUGAGGCUUGCAUUUGUGGCCUGGAGGCAUUAAUAGCUGUUGGGGCUAAAAAAGUGGAGGUGUUCGGAGAUUCAAUGCUAGUGGUUUCCCAUGUUAAAGGUGAAUGGGAAUUGAAAGAAGAAAAGUUGAGGCCAUACCUGGAGUAUGCUAAGAAACUAUUAUUUAGCUUUGAGGAAGUGACAAUGAAGCACAUGCCUAGAGCUCAGAACCAGAUAGCUGAUGCUCUAGCCACGCUGGCAUCCUUAUGGGAGAAAGGUGAUCAGAAGCUGACCCAGCCAGUUAUCUUGAUGAGGAGUAGAAUCCCAUGCUAUGAAGGGUUAAUAAUAGCACAUUUAGAUCUAGAAGAUGAGAUGAAAUGGUAUGAGGACAUAAGAAGAUAUUUAGAGGUAAGAGAAUACCCACAGUCAGCCAAUAGUAGGGAUAGAGCUACAAUUCGUAGAUUAGCCACUCAGUUCACUUUGGCUGGGGGGCAACUCUACAAAAGGUUCUUCGAAGGACUAUUGCUCUUGUGUGUGACGAAAAAGCAGUCUGAGCAGAUAAUGGAGGAAGUACAUGCAGGAGUGUGUGGUCCUCACAUGAACGGAAGGGUAUUAGCAGGCAAAAUUUUAAGAUUGGGCUAUUACUGGUCUACCAUGGAUACUGACUGCGCUAAAUUUGUGAAAAGAUGCCAUGAGUGCCAAAUCCAUGGGAAUUUGAAUCACCUACCGUCCAGUGAACUCUACAGCAUGACUUCACCGUGGCCAUUCUCAAUAUGGGGCAUAGACAUUAUUGGGAAGAUUUCUCCCACGGCUUCUAAUGGCCAUAGAUUUAUCAUAGUGGCAAUUGACUAUUUCACCAAGUGGGUUGAAGCUGAAUCUUAUAAAGUAGUAGGGGCUAAGCAGAUAAGUAAGUUUGUGCGAAGGAACUUGAUUUGCAGGUUUGGGGUACCCCAUGAGAUAGUAUCAGAUAACGGCAGCCAGUUCAAAGGUGAUUUCUUAGAAUUAAUUACCGAAUUCAAGAUUAAGCAUCACAAGUCCUCACCAUACAGGCCACAGACUAAUGGAGCAGUAGAAGCAGCAAAUAAGAAUGUGAAAACCAUUCUGAGAAAAAUGGUUGAAACCUAUAAGGAUUGGCCUGAGAAACUCCCUUAUGCUCUUUGGGGUUAUCGCACUACUACAAGAACAUCCACAGGGGCAACUCCAUUCUCUUUAGUGUAUGGGACUGAAGCAGUGCUACCCAUUGAGCUAGAGGUCAAAUCCUUGAGAGUGAUACUAGAAGCUAAGAUUCCGGAAAAUGAGUGGGCCCAGAAAAGAUAUGAAGAACUAGCUUUGAUUAAAAGAGAAUGUGAGCCUUGUGUCAUAUACAGGCUUAUCAGAGGAAGACAGCUAGAGCCUUUAAUAAGAAGGUAAAGCCAAGAAAGAUCAAAGAGGGAUACAAGAUUUAAGAGGAAAGUUUACCCAAGCUAGGAUGGUCCAUACA
rnacentral:misc_RNA from 1 species